rnacentral:rRNA from 1 species
GGGACAGGCCGUACAUCACGUAUUUAGUAACAAAUUACCCGCCAGAGAACUACUAGCAACAGCUAAAAACUCAAAGGACCUGUUCGGUGCCUCACAUCCCUCUAGAGGAGCCUGUUCUAUAAUCUAUAAACCCCGCUAUACCCGACCAACUCUUGCCAAAACAGCCUAUAUACCGCCAUCCUCAGCAAACCCUAAAAAGGACACACAGAUAAGCACAAACAUUAACAUAAAAAAGUUAGGUCAAGGUGUAGCCUAUGAGUUGGAGAGAAAUGGGCUACAUUUUCCUAUUAGGGAAAAUCUACGAAAGUUUCUGUGAAAAUCAUAAACUAAAGGUGGAUUUAGUAGUAAACUAAGAAUAUAGUGCUUAAUUGAAUUUCGGCCAUGAGGCACGCACACGCCGCCCGUCACCCUCAUUUAAGGA